GGGCGUGUGGCGCAGUUGGUAGCGCGUUCCCUUAGCAUGGGAAAGGUCUUCGGUUCGAAUCCGGACUCGUCCA
rfam:Cyberlindnera fabianii strain 65 BON22_Sc09, whole genome shotgun sequence.